GAGAAGGAAGAGGCUCGUUGCACAGGUACAAACAUGUGCCUGGAGACGGAACUGCUCCCAGUGGUAAAAUGCAAUUUGGCUGGAGGAAGAACUGCAAGCCAAGGGCCAGCUGACAAUGGGAACCUGGCUCUUCCUGGCACCUGGGACUGUGUUCUGUUGGAAGCAGCAGUCUGGGGAGCUGCUGACUUGCAGCAGCAAUCGUGGAUGAAGGAUCCUUAAUCGGGAGCUUUGGUUCACAUUCCCAUUUCCAACACAGCCUCCAGAGACCACGGGUGUGUGCAUAACUUGGGGAAGAGGAAAGGCUCCACAGGUGAGAUGGAGAAGCUGCACAGCCAAAUCACUGAAACCCAAAGAAUUAAUCAGAGUCCACAUGCACCUUGGGAUCACCUUCUGGCUUAUUUCUCCUAAGACUGGUGUGAAAGCUAAACUUGGUCAAAAGCCUGCCUGGGUUUUUGGCAAAACCAAGGGUGUUAAUGGAAAACAACCCCAGUCCACAUGGGAAGAAAAUAAUCCCAGUUUUAACAUGAAAUGGAAGUUUUACCAACGCCUCUGGAGCAAAAGAAAACAAGCAGCCGUAACAUCACUUACUUCCACGAGAGAAUUCCCACUGCAAACUGAUGGAGCUCCUACAGAUUCCGGAUGGGAAGAGGAGAGCCACACAGAGCAAAUACACCCGGAGCAGCCGUCCCUUCCCUUCCGAGCCAGGCAAAUAAACACCUGACCACGCUACAUCCCUGGAAACACGGUGCUCUACUGGCAGACAGGGAAAAACAGCCUUUAAAAAACGAAAACAAGCUCUAUCAGUAAAAGUGCACUUCUGCAGAUAAACUGCUCCUGCAGCUGGGACUUCUGCUGGCACAGCUCUGUCGGUCACGGGUCACACUCCGGCACCGCGCGCGCAGACAGAGCUGUGCCAGCAGAAGUUUGCCAUGCAAACCUGGGGGGAAACUCGGGAGCCACUAACAUGGAUCUGCAAAGGCCUGUGUUUUUCCAACAGUCUGACGAUGAGGAGCCUGUCUUACCCCUGGCACACGUGAAUCUCUUGCUUCCAAGCACAGAAGAAAACUGGACUUCGCGCAGGAACACGGCAAUACCUGUGAGCCAUUUACACCGCACUUUAUCCUUCAAUUAAAUACACAAACUGAGCGAGGAAGAGCCCCCCCCGUAGGAAAGGGAAGAUAAAAGGGAAUAAAUUAAACUGUGCUGUACUUCAGCCCUUGGAGCAGCCCGCCCUCACUUUUAAUAGUAAGAAGGGAGCAAAACUGAAAGUGUUUAACGGGAUUUGUUUAGCAGGCAGCAGAGCACCGCGGAAUUCCCACCGCUCCGUGAAACCCAACAGCUGAACUGUAACAGGACUUUUGGCAUCUUCAAAAAUCCCCGGAGGAGAUUUAACGCCCGAGUUGGUGCUCAAGCAGAAGUUCUGUUUGGGUGAGUCCACACGAUACUGCGGAUCGUUAUUCCAGAGCACGGAGCAGCGAGAUGUCGGAAGCGCGCGCUGCCCAUCUGCUCCGGAGAGAAAUUAUAAAAUCAAGCUGGAAGUAACCUCCCACCACCCUCUGGGAGGGGAAGGAAAGCCACGGAGAAGGCUACGUCCAGGAAGUUGGGUCAGGCUGCGGCGCAAAGCAAACCUCAACCGUCCAGCACGUGGGAGAGGGAUGUUUGGCAGCACAAAUUUCCCCAUUUUCCAUGGGGAGAACACAGAAGUAAAGUCGCUGGCAG